AUCCAAGGAAGGCAGCAGGCGCGCACAUUACCCAUUCCCGACGCGGGGAGGUAGUGACGAAAAAUAACAAUGCAGGACUCGUUCGAGGCCCUGUAAUUGGAAUGAGUACACUUUAAAAGCUUUAACGAGUAUCCAUUGGAGGGCAAGUCUGGUGCCAGCAGCCGCGGUAAUUCCAGCUCCAAAAGUAUAUAUUUAAGUUGUUGCGGUUAAAAAGCUCGUAGUUGGAUUUUGGGCGCAGGCGGCCGGUCCGUCGCAAGGCGUGUACUGGACGUCCUGGCCUUCCCUCCGGUUCUCCGCCGGUGCUCUUGACUGAGUGUCGGCGGCGGCCGGAACGUUUACUUUGAAAAAAUUAGAGUGUUCAAAGCAGGCUCUCGAGCCUGGAUAAUGGUGCAUGGAAUAAUGGAAUAGGACCUCGGUUCUAUUUUGUUGGUUUUCGGAGCGCGAGGUAAUGAUUAAGAGGGACAGACGGGGGCAUUCGUACUGUGCCGUUAGAGGUGAAAUUCUUGGAUCGGCGCAAGACGAACGACUGCGAAAGCAUUUGCCAAGAAUGUUUUCUUUAAUCAAGAGCGAAAGUCAGAGGUUCGAAGACGAUCAGAUACCGUCCUAGUUCUGACUAUAAACGAUGCCAACUAGCGAUCGGGGGGCGUUACAUUGACGACCCCUCCGGCAGCUUACGGGAAACCAA
rnacentral:ncRNA from 1 species